AAAAAAAAAAAAAAAAAAACUCAAAGCUUCGACUACUCACCGCCUUCGAUCGUCCAAUGCUACACUACGGUUCCAAUAACAGAGGUCGAAACUAGGAAAAAAAGGGUUCCCAUGAAGGAGAACGAGUGUGAGGUCACACACAUUGAAGGAGAUCAUCGGAUAAUGUGACGGAAGAAGAGACUGCGACAACAGGAAGAAUGAUAGGUUGACAACACAACAAUGAGUGCGACAACAGGGUUUCAGAUAGGGAAAAUCAUGGUUGUAGUGAGUGAGGAAUAAUCAUGGUUGCAGUGAGUGAGGGAGAAUCAUGGAUUGAAGCUAUGGCUCGAGAAGGAGGACAAGCUAGGGUUCGAGAAACGGACAAAUUUGGCUCGAGGGAGGGAUGGAGAAAAGUGAGAAGAGUUUAAUCAGAUUGCAUACUAUUUAGUUUUAUUUUUUAAUUAUUAAUUAUCUCCGUAUCCGUAUGAAAUAUCAUGGGUAAAUAUUCUUUCCCGCCAACACGUGCGAAUAUUACCCAUCAAUAUAAUCCAUAUGUAAUUUUUUUCCCAUCAUAAACAGAUUUUUUCGUAUAAAAUAUUUUACAUAUCCCUAUAUAAUAUUUGUAUCUAACAUCCCC
rnacentral:lncRNA from 1 species